rnacentral:rRNA from 1 species
AUGACAUUUAGGGGGAGAAAACAGUUCAAGAAGGUUGUUGUGAAAUAUGGCCUAGCAGUGAAGAGACAAAUUACCUUCAUAAAGUAUGAGGCUAGUAGGAUUAGAGCAAAAUGCUCUUGGCCUGAGUGUCCAUGGUUGAUAUAUGCUGGAAAGAGGAGCUCUAAUGACUGGUUUCAAGGGAUCACAUUUGUAGACAACCACAUAUGCCCCCAGAGGAGAGACAAUAGAUUGGUUACUACAACUAUAAUAGCAAAUAAGUAUGAGAGAAUUAUGAAGGACAAUCCUAGAUGGAAAAUCAAAUCUAUCAAGGCAACUGUCAGGUUGGAGAUGUUUGCAUAUGUGCACAUCUCAAGAUAA